GACGAACGCUUCCUUCUUUCUUCACACAUUCAAUUCGAACGUAAAGGCCCUGCUUUUUUGUUUUGCUCGAGUGGCGAACGGGUGAGUAACACGUGAGUAACCUGCCCUUGACUUUGGGAUAACUUCAGUAAACUGGGGCUAAUACCGGAUAGGAGCUCCUGCUGCAUGGUGGGGGUUGGAAAGUUUCGGCGGUUGGGGAUGGACUCGCGGCUUAUCAGCUUGUUGGUGGGGUAGUGGCUUACCAAGGCUUUGCCGGGUAGCCGGCCUGAGAGGGUGACCGGCCACAUUGGGACUGAGAUACGGCCCAGACUCCUACGGGAGGCAGCAGUGGGGAAUAUUGCACAAUGGGCGGAAGCCUGAUGCAGCAACGCCGCGUGCGGGAUGAAGGAAUUCGGGUUGUAAACCGCUUUCGCCUGUGACGAAGCGUGAGUGACGGUAAUGGGUAAAGAAGCACAGGCUAACUACGGG
rnacentral:rRNA from 1 species